GGAGCAAGUUGAAGAGAUUAGUUUCGUGAAAAUAAAUGUGAUCUUUUGGUCAGGAUUUUGCAUGAUCCAUAGCCAUCGGUGGCAACAGGCGAGCAGUUCAAGGCCUACUGCGUGAGUCAUCCAUUGUCUUCUAUGCGUGAGCUUGUUGUCUCUACACAUAUAGCAUCAGAGUAUCUCCUCCCCUUGCCGCACACACAUGACGGACGGUCAAGCUAGUGUUGUUUGCGAUUACUGGUCAUGACUCUUACAUUGUCAUUGGACAAAGAAUUUCAUUUUCCUUAACACUCGGUAAGGAAAAUGAUCGUUCAACUUGAAUUAUGUUUUGGACUGAUUGUUAAGUUCUUUCGUAUAGAAGAUUCAAAAAGUUUUGUUCCUGAAAAUGCACUUAUUUGGAGUAUGCCAAUAUAUAUGUAUUUCUGAAUUUUGCUCUUGAAUAACAGUUCAACAUGUAUUACGCCAUCAAUUCAUAAUGGAAAGGUAGCAAACAGUUUGAUACUUGUGUGUUAAAAACGUAACAGUAUAGAGAAACUUUCGUAGUGGUUCGAUGGAAUAAAUUGCAUCAGUACUGACUUGGAUCCGUUCUUGCCUAUAAUGCAUUGAAAAAUCAAUUUUUUGCCUUCGUUAAGGCUUGAGAAGCAUGUCUCUCAUUUAUAAUACGCUUUGGCAUUUGGUCGAUGAUAUUUAUUGCAUCCUUCAUCGCUGAUCUUGAGGAGGAGAUUCAUUUGUGCAUUUCUAUAUUCGUUGUGUAAAUCUGUUAAUUUUUUAUGUUUUAGGGAAUUCGGGAGAGUGGAGACCUGGAAGAGGACUUUCAGGCAUUAUUGGCCAUGACAAUAAAUGACCAAGAAGAGCACUUUCAAUAGUCAAGGAAGACAACAACAACAACAACAACAACAACAACAACAAC
rnacentral:lncRNA from 1 species